AGAGUUUGAUCCUGGCUCAGAGUGAACGCUGGCGGCAGGCCUAACACAUGCAAGUCGAACGGCAGCACAGGGGAGCUUGCUCCCUGGGUGGCGAGUGGCGGACGGGUGAGGAAUACAUCGGAAUCUGCCCAGUCGUGGGGGAUAACCUCGGGAAACCGGGACUAAUACCGCAUACGACCUACGGGUGAAAGCGGAGGACCGCAAGGCUUCGCGCGAUUGGAUGAGCCGAUGUCGGAUUAGCUAGUUGGAGGGGUAAUGGCCCACCAAGGCGACGAUCCGUAGCUGGUCUGAGAGGAUGAUCAGCCACACUGGGACUGAGACACGGCCCAGACUCCUACGGGAGGCAGCAGUGGGGAAUAUUGGACAAUGGGCGCAAGCCUGAUCCAGCCAUGCCGCGUGAGUGAAGAAGGCCCUCGGGUUGUAAAGCUCUUUUGUUGGGAAAGAAAAGCAAUCGGUUAAUACCCGGUUGUCCUGACGGUACCCAAAGAAUAAGCACCGGCUAACUUCGUGCCAGCAGCCGCGGUAAUACGAAGGGUGCAAGCGUUACUCGGAAUUACUGGGCGUAAAGCGUGCGUAGGUGGUUUGUUAAGUCUGAUGUGAAAGCCCUGGGCUCAACCUGGGAAUUGCACUGGAUACUGGCAGGCUAGAGUGCGGUAGAGGAUGGCGGAAUUCCCGGUGUAGCAGUGAAAUGCGUAGAGAUCGGGAGGAACAUCCGUGGCGAAGGCGGCCAUCUGGACCAGCACUGACACUGAGGCACGAAAGCGUGGGGAGCAA
rnacentral:rRNA from 1 species